rnacentral:lncRNA from 1 species
UAAAAAUGUACUGUGUUUUCACCUUUUGUUUAUAUAUAAAUGUUUAUGAGUAUAUAGGCCUAUCUAUAAGUGGAUAAGUCUGUAUAUGUAUAUAUAUCACACACACAUACAACCUCCAUGUCCUUGGGUCCUGGGUUUUUGAAGUGCUAAAACAUAUAAAUAGAAUAAAUCUUGCUGUGGAAAUACCAUGCUUUAGAACAAAUCCUUUUUGAUCCUGAUGCUUCUGAAAACUAGGUCUGACUCUGUGGGAAUUUUCCCAGCUAAAGAAAAUCACUUCCGUUAUCACCCCCACCCCCAAUUUGGCUGUUGAGCAUUUUACACAUCCCUGAUACGUUGUAUAUUGUG